rnacentral:lncRNA from 1 species
GGAAGGAGACACCGGUGCCAUUGGGAAGGAAAGUGAUUAACACAGAGGCCAGGGCGCUGGCCAGGAAUGCCUGCUGGUGGCACUGGGACCUUUGUAUCCGCGGCUCCAGAGGAGGAUCACUGCAAACGCAACUGUGAACAGCACUGCCUGAGGAAUCUCUUCUUGGGAACCUCGGCCCUGCUUACUUAGGACAGCUCAGAGAAGAGCACAGAGUAGUCCUGGCCAGAUCCCUUCUCCUUGCUAUUCCUCAUCCUUCCCGACUCCACUCACGAGAAUAUGUCAUUAACCACCACCCUCACCUCACCUAACCACCACUCUCAACUUAUCUAACCCGUACUCACUUCAACUACCACCCUCACCUCACCUAACCAUCACAUCACUUCACCCAACUACCACCCUCACCUCACCUAACCACAAGUCUCAUCUAACCCAUACUCCACCUAACCAUGACCCUCACCUCAUCUAACCUCCAUUCUCAACUCAUCUAACCAUCCCCUUCACCUAACCACCAUCUCACUUCACCUAACAGUCACCUUCACUUCACCUAACCACUCUCCUCACCUUAUCUAACCACCACUAUCAACUCAUCCAACCCAUCCUCACUUCACUUACCCACCACCCUCACCUCACGGAACCCAUCUUCACCUCACCUAACCACUAACCUCACCUCACCUAAUCACCACCUUCACCUCACCUAACCAUCACCCUCACCUCACCUAAUCACCACCUUCACUCACCUAACCACUAACUUCACCUCACCUAAUCACCACUCUCAACUUACCUAAUCUGUACUCACUUCACCUAACCACCCCCACUCACCUCGCCUAACCAUCACUUCACCCAACCACCACCCUCACCUCAAGCCUCAUCUAACCCAUACUUCACCUAACCAUGACCCUCACCUCAUCCAACCACCAUUCUCAAUUCAUCUAACCAUCUCCUUCACCUAACCACCAUCUCACUUCACCUAUCAACUUCACUUCACCUAACCACUCUUCUCACCUAACCACCACUCUCAAUUCAUCUAACCCAUACUCACUUCGCUUACCCACCAUAUUCACCUCACUUAUCCAUAACUCUUACCUCACCUAACUGCCACCCUCACAUCAUCUAACAACCACCUUCAUCUCCACCUAACCACUUUACUCACUUUAUCUAGCCACCACCCUCACCUCAUCCAACACAUACUCCCUUCACUUACCCACCACCUGACUCACCUCAUGGAACCCAUCUUCACCUCACCUAACCACUAACCUCACUUCACCUAACCACCACUCUGAACUCAUCUAACCUAUAUUCACUUCAACUAACCACAGCCUGCACCUUACCUAACCCACCCUCACCUCACCUAACAGCCACCCUCACAUCACGUAACCACCACCUUCACUUUGUGGUGGAAAGCAGUUUGCUGAUUUCUCAAAGAACUUAGAACUACCAUUCAACCUGGCAAUACCAUUACUGGCUAUAAACCCAAAGGCACAGAAAUCAUUCUAGCAAAAAGACAUGCCCAUCAACAGCCCUAUUCACAAAGCAAAGACAUGGAAUCAAUACGUCUCCAUCAAAGGUGGACUAGAUGAAGAACAUGUGGUACAUACAGAGCAUGGAAUAUUACGCAGCCACAAAGACUGAAAUCACGUCCUUUGAAGCACCAUGGAGGCAGCUGGAGGCCAUCAUCCUAAGCCAAUUAGCACAGCAACAGAAAACCAAAUACCACGUGUUCUCGUAAGUGGGAGCAAAACACGGUACUCAGGGAGGAGAAAU